AAUAAUACAUAAUUUAUAUAAAGUUAACAUAAAUUAAUUUUAUUUUCUACAUUUAGAACAGACAGAAAAAUUGCAUAAAUACAGCUGUAAGUCAUACCUCAGCUCUUUUGGCAACCAAAUAAAUAAUUUUAAAUAUAGCAGGUCAAAUUUAUUAGUGAAUUAUUGCCUGUCUCACCCAGAUUAAGAAACUCUAAAUCAAUAUUUUUUUAAUUUCUCAGUAUUCUCUACUCUUAAACAAGAAUAAUUCUUUUCAUAGUAUUGCAAAAUGCAACUCUCAAUUAUGUAUCAUUUUUUUGUGUGUGUUACAGAACAAGAAAGCAGCAUUUGUCAGCAAACAUUCACAUGUCUGCUGCUGCCUCUGUCUUCUUUUCAAGAGUAAAAUCAUCCAGAGAUAACAGACUCCAGGGAAAAAGUCAACAAAUUAUAGAGGAACAACACAAUUCCUCUGUGCAAGUUGGCAGCGUGGAUUCUACAUCCCAGGCUUGUGACGCUCUGGUGAUGACUCUGUGCCAAGAGCUCCACAUGCAUUAUUUAGCCUUAUCUUCGUGACAAGCCUAAGAGAAGCACUGUGAACCCACUGCAGAGAGAGAUGUACUAGCUUCUGCCAGAGAGGGAGACUGUGAAGCCUGGCCUCAUCUAUGAGCAAGGUCCUUCCCACCCAUCACUGACUCUCCUUUAUGAGCCAAAGGAUGAAGAAAGAAGGAG